GAGUUUGAUUCUGGCUCAGAGUGAACGCUGGCGGCGUGGAUUAGGCAUGCAAGUCGUGCGAACCCUUCGGGGUUAGCGGCAAACGGGUGAGUAACGCGUGAGUAAUUUUCCCUAAAGACGGACAUAGCUUCGCGAAAGCGGAGGUAAUUUCCGAUGUGGCCGAGAGACGACAUCGUCAUUCGGUUAAAGCAGGGGACCUUCGGGCCUUGCACUUUAGGAUGAGCUCGCGUCCUAUCAGCUUGUUGGUGGGGUAACGGCCUACCAAGGCUUUUGACGGGUAGCUGGUCUGAGAGGAUGGUCAGCCACACUGGGACUGAGACACUGCCCAGACUCCUACGGGAGGCUGCAGUCGAGAAUCUUUAUCAAUGGACGAAAGUCUGAAUAUGCGACGCCGCGUGCGGGACGAAGGCCUUCGGGUUGUAAACCGCUUUUAUCAGGAAAGAAACCUUUAACUCUAACAUAGUUGAAGCUGACGGUACCUGAAGAAUAAGCUACGGCCAACUCCGUGCCAGCAGCCGCGGUAAUACGGAGGUAGCGAGCGUUACUCGGAAUCAUUGGGUGUAAAGGGCAAGUAGGCGGUCUAUUAAGUGAGGGGUGAAAGCUCCCGGCUCAAUCGGGAAAUUGCCUUUCAAACUACUAGACUUGAGGGUGACAGAGGAAAACGGAAUUCGCAGUGUAAGGGUGAAAUCUGUAGAGAUUGCGAAGAACACCGGCGGCGUAGGCGGUUUUCUGGGUCACUUCUGACGCUAAAUUGCGAAAGCUAGGGGAGCGAACAGAAUUAGAUACUCUGGUAGUCCUAGCCGUAAACGAUGAGCACUAGGUGUUGGGACUUCGGUCUCAGUGCCGCAGCUAACGCAUUAAGUGCUCCACCUGGGGACUACGGCCGCAAGGCUAAAACUCAAAGGAAUUGACGGGGACCCGCACAAGCGGUGGAACAUGUGGUUUAAUUCGAUGCUACGCGAAGAACCUCACCAAGGCUUGACAUGUAGUCAGUAGGGUAUCCGAAAGGUGACCGACCCGUUUAGUCCGGGAAGCUACACAGGUGCUGCAUGGCUGUCGUCAGCUCGUGUCGUGAGAUGUUGGGUUAAGUCCCGCAACGAGCGCAACCAUUGCCCCAUGUUGCUACCCCACUCUGAUCUUCGGAUCUUGUGGGCGCACUCUUGGGGGACUGCCUGGGGUAACCAGGAGGAAGGUGGAGAUGACGUCAAGUCAGUACGGCCUUUAUGCCUUGGGCUACACACGUGUUACAAUGGCAGGUACAAUGGGUUGCCAACCCGAGAGGGGGAGCUAAUCUCAAAAAACCUGCCCCAGUUCGGAUAGAAGUCUGCAAUUCGACUUCUUGAAGUUGGAAUCGCUAGUAAUGGGAGAUCAGCUCGCUCCCGUGAAUACGUUCCCGGGUCUUGUACACACCGCCCGUCAAGCGAUGAAAGCCGGGGGUACCCGAAGUCCUACGUAGGUAGGCCGAAGGUAAAACUGGUGAUUGGCGCUAAGUCGUAACAAGGUAGC
rnacentral:rRNA from 1 species